rnacentral:lncRNA from 1 species
GUUGGACUUCUGAAACUUGAAUGUUCGAGAAAAACACUCCUUGUACUGACCCUGACCCUCCCUGCAGUAGUAGAAUCGCACAUUAGUUUUGGUUAUAGAAAAGAUUCGAACUCUAAUUCCUGAAAUCGGAUUUGUAGAAAUAUGUAGUCCAGAAGUAAAAACGCACAUUAGUUUUGGUUAUAGAGAACACUUGAACUCUAAUUCCUGAAAUCUGAUUCGUAGCAAUAUGUAGUUCAGAAGUAAAAACUUUUUACUGGAUGUUAAGACAACUAAACAUUUGCCUG